ACAACAUUCGGAACGUCGGUCUACAGAGCACUAUCACCCGCUCGGUGGAAUCUUCCACUUCUCUU
rnacentral:pre_miRNA from 1 species